CCAGGCCUACGGGAGGCAGCAGUAGGGAAUUUUCGUCAAUGGGCGCAAGCCUGAACGAGCAAUGCCGCGUGAACGAGGAAGGUCUUCGGAUCGUAAAGUUCUGUUGAAGGGGAAAAAGAGCGGAGAGAGGAAAUGAACUCCGAUUGAUAUUACCCUUCGAGGAAGUCACGGCUAACUACGUGCCAGGAGCCGCGGUAAUACGUAGGUGGCGAGCGUUAUCCGGAAUGAUUGGGCGUAAAGGGUGCGUAGGCGGCCUGCUAAGUCUCGAGUGAAAGGUAACGGCUCAACCGGUACAGGCUCUGGAA
rnacentral:rRNA from 1 species